rnacentral:rRNA from 1 species
UACGGAGGGGGCUAGCGUUGUUCGGAAUUACUGGGCGUAAAGCGUACGUAGGCGGCUUUGUAAGUUAGAGGUGAAAGCCCGGGGCUCAACUCCGGAAUUGCCUUUAAGACUGCAUCGCUUGAAUCAUGGAGAGGUGAGUGGAAUUCCGAGUGUAGAGGUGAAAUUCGUAGAUAUUCGGAAGAACACCAGUGGCGAAGGCGACUCGCUGGACAGGUAUUGACGCUGAGGUGCGAAAGCGUGGGGAGCAAACAGG